AAGGUACAAAAAGACAGUAGCGCAGUUAUUUAUCCGUUGGUGUAUACAAUCUGGUUUCAGUACUAUUCCACAAUCUUCAAACGAGAAACAUAUCAUUGAAAAUUCUCAAGUAUUUGACUGGAGUAUAAGUGACGAGGAUAUGAAAAUUUUGGUAAAUCAGCCUGCAGUUUUUACACAUUUUGUCGAAAUGUAAUAAUAUAUUAAUUGCAGUUAUUCACGUAAUGAUUUUCUCAAUUUUCCUGCAAAUGACUGGUGCAAAUAAUACGCCAGCUGUAUAUAAAGCGGCAUUUUUCUAUGACGAAUACAUUUGAUACGUUGAAAGUUGCUUACAUACGUACAUAUACAUAAAAAUUUAUUUAAACACGUUAGCCCUAACAUCUUUCGAUGAUUUCCAUAGCCAUAGGGGACGUAUAAAAUUAAGACUAAUACAUUACAGCAUACAAACUAUUUACAUAAUUAUUCUUCAGACAAUUAGCAAAC